GUCUCUUUGAUAGCUCAGUAAGUAGGGCAUGAGACUCUUAAUCUCAGGGUUGUGGGUUUGAGCCCCACGUAGGGCA